UACGGAGGGGGCUAGCGUUGUUCGGAAUUAUUGGGCGUAAAGCGCGCGCAGGCGGUUUCUUAAGUCUGAUGUGAAAGCCCACGGCUCAACCGUGGAGGGUCAUUGGAAACUGGGGAACUUGAGUGCAGAAGAGAAAAGCGGAAUUCCACGUGUAGCGGUGAAAUGCGUAGAGAUGUGGAGGAACACCAGUGGCGAAGGCGGCUUUUUGGUCUGUAACUGACACUGAGGCGCGAAAGCGUGGGGAGCAAACAGG
rnacentral:rRNA from 1 species